rnacentral:rRNA from 1 species
GCUAGCUACAGGCUUAACACAUGCAAGUCGAGGGGCAUCAGGAAGAAAGCUUGCUUUCUUUGCUGGCGACCGGCGCACGGGUGAGUAACACGUAUCCAACCUGCCCUUUACUCGGGGAUAGCCUUUCGAAAGAAAGAUUAAUACCCGAUAGCAUAAUGAUUCCGCAUGGUUUCAUUAUUAAAGGAUUCCGGUAAAGGAUGGGGAUGCGUUCCAUUAGGUUGUUGGUGAGGUAACGGCCCACCAAGCCUUCGAUGGAUAGGGGUUCUGAGAGGAAGGUCCCCCACAUUGGAACUGAGACACGGUCCAAACUCCUACGGGAGGCAGCAGUGAGGAAUAUUGGUCAAUGGGCGCUAGCCUGAACCAGCCAAGUAGCGUGAAGGAUGAAGGCUCUAUGGGUCGUAAACUUCUUUUAUAUAAGAAUAAAGUGCAGUAUGUAUACUGUUUUGUAUGUAUUAUAUGAAUAAGGAUCGGCUAACUCCGUGCCAGCAGCCGCGGUAAUACGGAGGAUCCGAGCGUUAUCCGGAUUUAUUGGGUUUAAAGGGAGCGUAGGUGGACUGGUAAGUCAGUUGUGAAAGUUUGCGGCUCAACCGUAAAAUUGCAGUUGAUACUGUCAGUCUUGAGUACAGUAGAGGUGGGCGGAAUUCGUGGUGUAGCGGUGAAAUGCUUAGAUAUCACGAAGAACUCCGAUUGCGAAGGCAGCUCACUGGACUGCAACUGACACUGAUGCUCGAAAGUGUGGGUAUCAAACAGGAUUAGAUACCCUGGUAGUCCACACAGUAAACGAUGAAUACUCGCUGUUUGCGAUAUACAGUAAGCGGCCAAGCGAAAGCAUUAAGUAUUCCACCUGGGGAGUACGCCGGCAACGGUGAAACUCAAAGGAAUUGACGGGGGCCCGCACAAGCGGAGGAACAUGUGGUUUAAUUCGAUGAUACGCGAGGAACCUUACCCGGGCUUAAAUUGCAGUGGAAUGAUGUGGAAACAUGUCAGUGAGCAAUCACCGCUGUGAAGGUGCUGCAUGGUUGUCGUCAGCUCGUGCCGUGAGGUGUCGGCUUAAGUGCCAUAACGAGCGCAACCCUUAUCUUCAGUUACUAACAGGUCAUGCUGAGGACUCUGGAGAGACUGCCGUCGUAAGAUGUGAGGAAGGUGGGGAUGACGUCAAAUCAGCACGGCCCUUACGUCCGGGGCUACACACGUGUUACAAUGGGGGGUACAGAAGGCAGCUAGCGGGUGACCGUAUGCUAAUCCCAAAAGCCUCUCUCAGUUCGGAUCGAAGUCUGCAACCCGACUUCGUGAAGCUGGAUUCGCUAGUAAUCGCGCAUCAGCCACGGCGCGGUGAAUACGUUCCCGGGCCUUGUACACACCGCCCGUCAAGCCAUGGGAGCCGGGGGUACCUGAAGUACGUAACCGCAAGGAUCGUCCUAGGGUAAAACUGGUGACUGG